rnacentral:rRNA from 1 species
GACGUAGGGCGCGAGCGUUGUCCGGAUUUAUUGGGCGUAAAGAGCGUGUAGGCGGCCAGAUAGGUCAGCUGUGAAAACUCGAGGCUCAACCUCGAGAUGUCGGCUGAAACCAUCUGGCUAGAGUCCGGAAGAGGAGAAUGGAAUUCCCGGUGUAGCGGUGAAAUGCGCAGAUAUCAGGAGGAACACCGGUGGCGAAGGCGGGUCUCUGGGCCGAUACUGACGCUGAGGAGCGAAAGCGUGGGGAGCGAACAGG